AUGGCGAAGCAUGCCACACUUGUUCUAAUUAAUUCUGAGAUCAGACAACUGGUUGAAGACAUGGCUACUGGCAUGGUGUUACAGUAUCUAUUUGAAAAUACCAUUGUGAUUAAUUCUACAGAUACUGAUAAUGCAGCCAUGGGGAGGUGUGCUACUUCUGUUCUAAUGAGUAAUAACUUAAAAGACUGUUCCUUUGAGCAUUGA